CGCUCCCCGCUUGACGUGCUGCACGUGACGUCAUCACUGAAGGCCCAGCACGCCACCUCUCGGCACAUCUCAAAGCUGCAGUCUUCUGAAGUGACGCCACUGUCGCCCGAGUCGAUGCUGCGGUCCGAAAUGGACGGCGUUGAGAAGGUCGAGGAGGACUUUUUCUGCAUCGGAUGUGUGUACGACCACAUGUGCCGUGCGAGUUAGAUCCGGAGAGAGGUAGCUGCAGCACAUUUGGUAAACGCACUGGUGAAGAGCGUGACGUCGUUGGCACUAACAGCACUGCCGUUUCGUCCGUUCGAUAAGUAACAUCUGCGAUUUCUUCCCACCACGGGUAUGCUGUUCUCGGUCGGUGUUGUGAUUUCGCGCACAGUCACGGGCUAGUGAGCUUAAUGAUUUCCAGUAAAGCGAAGAAAGUCGAUGCGUCUGCCGAUAUAAAUACCGUGUAAAGGCCUGUAAGAUGGUGCUCGUCUACAAAGAAAUACACGACACAUGUUCAUGUU